CCAUUCUGUGAAGAGAAAAGACUUGGAAAAUCUUAAUAAACUUUAUAUAUAAAAGGCAAGAAUAAAAAGUAAAAGAUAUCUUUAUACCUUUUGAUUCACGCAUUUGAGUCUUUUGAUAUCUGUGCAAGAUGUGUUGUCGAAGUAUUACUGCGUGAGCUUCAACCAAAUGAUGAAUAGCUGUAAUUUCGUUGCCAGUCUAAGGAAGAAUAAAUAUACAUACAUAAA